rnacentral:rRNA from 1 species
CCUACGAGAGACAGCAGUGGGGAAUAUUGCCCAAUGGGGGACACCCUGAUGCAGCGACGCCGCGUGAGUGAAGAAGUAAUUCGUUAUGUAACGCUCUAUCAGCAGGGACGAAAAUGACGGUACCUGAGUAAGAAGCCCCGGCUAACUACGUGCCCACAGCCGCGGUAAUACGUAGGGGGCAAGCGUUAUCCGGAUUUACUGGGUGUAAAGGGAGCGUAGACGGCAGUGAAAGUCUGGAGUGAAAGGCGGGGGCUCAACACCCGGACUGCUAUGGAAACUGUACGGCUGGAGUGCAGGAGAGGUAAGUGGAAGUCCUAGUGUAGCGGUGAAAUGCGUAGAUAUUAGGAGGAACACCAGUGGCGAAGGCGGCUUACUGGACUGUAACUGACGUUGAGGCUCGAAAGAGUGGGGAGCAAACAGGAUUAGAUACCCUUGUAGUC